rnacentral:rRNA from 1 species
AUGAUGGAGACUAUGAUUCCCCCACAAGUCGGGAUGAGACUCCAGACUUUAAAAAUAAAUAAAAGAGGCCAAAGAAGCCCACAUAAAAAAAGAGGCCAAAGAAGCCCACCCAAAAAAAUGAGAGAAAAAGAGAGAAGGGGCAAUGUUACUAUCCUUUUACCACACUUGUGCUUCAGAGUAGCACCAUGUUCUUCAUAUAGAGAGUCUCUUGAGUUACCACUUUCAUAUACUAGUGGGAAUUUUCAUUAUAGAACUUGGCUUGUAUAUUCCGAUGAUGGGCUUCCUCAAACGCCCGAGGUCUUCAUGAGGAAGCAAGUUGGAUGCACACCCAUUUAG